UACGUAGGUCCCGAGCGUUGUCCGGAAUUACUGGGCGUAAAGCGUACGUAGGCGGCUUGUUAAGCAAGAUGUGAAAUCCCCGGGCUCAACCUGGGAAUGGCAUUUUGAACUGGCAGGCUCGAGUUCUGAAGAGGGUGGUAGAAUUCCAGGUGUAGCGGUGAAAUGCGUAGAGAUCUGGAGGAAUACCGGUGGCGAAGGCGGCCACCUGGUCAGAAACUGACGCUGAGGUACGAAAGCGUGGGGAGCAAACAGG
rnacentral:rRNA from 1 species